rnacentral:rRNA from 1 species
UUCCGUAGGUGAACCUGCGGAAGGAUCAUUCGCACGCAAUGACCAAUCUUGUAUGAACGAACGUCUGUGAACCAUUUUCGCUAGAUUUUGGUUCGGCGAUUGCAACGCACAUAUUCAAAUGCAGAGUGUGUUCCUUGCAAUCUCUCACAUGCUCGCCUCCUUCAUGGCAACACUGUUGCACAACACUUGAAAUUACAACUUUCAGCGACGGAUGUCUCGGCUCCAACAACGAUGAAGGGCGCAGCGAAGUGUGAUAAGCAUUGUGAAAUGCAGAGCACCGUGAACCAAUCGAAUUUUUAACGCAUAUUGCGCUGCUGGGUCCGCCCUGCGGCAUGUCCACUUCAGUGUCUACGCGUGUCUUGCCAACAGCAGUUCUCUCAUCUGCGAAUCUGUUGUGCGUUGGGCAGUGUGGCAAUGGGUCCAUCCGACUGCUGUUGCCACACAUCUUUGGUAUGGUGGAUGGACAUCGACGACCCUGAUGUUCGCACUUUUGCGCCAUGUGGUCUCGACUAACUGCCAGCCUGAAAGCACUUAUUGUGCUGACCUCGCAUCUUCAGACAUGAAGUUGGGUAAGCAAACCCGCUGAAUUUAAGCAUAUCA